rnacentral:rRNA from 1 species
AGAGUUUGAUCCUGGCUCAGGAUGAACGCUAGCGGCAGGCCUAAUACAUGCAAGUCGAACGGUAAGAUCCCGCUUGCGGGAUACACGAGUGGCGCACGGGUGAGUAACGCGUAUGCAACCUACCUUUAACUGGAGGAUAGCCCCGAGAAAUCGGGAUUAAUACUUCAUAAUAAUAUAAAACGACAUCGUUUAAUAUUUAAAGCUCCGGCGGUUUUUGAUGGGCAUGCGUGACAUUAGAUUGUUGGUAAGGUAACGGCUUACCAAGUCUACGAUGUCUAGGGGGUCUGAGAGGAUGGUCCCCCACACUGGUACUGAGACACGGACCAGACUCCUACGGGAGGCAGCAGUGAGGAAUAUUGGGCAAUGGACGCAAGUCUGACCCAGCCAUGCCGCGUGCAGGAUGACUGCCCUAUGGGUUGUAAACUGCUUUUAUACGGGAAGAAACCCCUGAACGUGUUCAGGGCUGACGGUACCGUAAGAAUAAGCAUCGGCUAACUCCGUGCCAGCAGCCGCGGUAAUACGGAGGAUGCAAGCGUUAUCCGGAUUUAUUAGGUUUAAAGGGUGUGUAGGCGGAACUUUAAGUCAGUGGUGAAAUCUUUCGGCUCAACCGGAAAACUGCCAUUGAUACUGGAGUUCUUGAGUAUAGUUGAGGUAGGCGGAAUGUGUAAUGUAGCCGUCAGUAAUAGCUUAGAUAUUACACAGAACACCGAUUGCGAAGGCAGCUUACUAAGCUAUUACUGACGCUGAUGCACGAAAGCGUGGGGAGCGAACAGGAUUAGAUACCCUGGUAGUCCACGCCGUAAACGAUGAUUACUCGUUGUUGGCGAUAUAUUGUCAGCGACUGAGCGAAAGCAUUAAGUAAUCCACCUGGGGAGUACGUUCGCAAGAAUGAAACUCAAAGGAAUUGACGGGGGCCCGCACAAGCGGAGGAACAUGUGGUUUAAUUCGAUGAUACGCGAGGAACCUUACCUGGGCUUAAAUGUAGUAUGACCGUACCCGAAAGGGUAUUUCUUCGGAGCAAAUUACAAGGUGCUGCAUGGCUGUCGUCAGCUCGUGCCGUGAGGUGUCGGGUUAAGUCCCAUAACGAGCGCAACCCCUAUUCUUAGUUGCCAGCGGGUCAUGCCGGGGACUCUAAGGAGACUGCCAGCGUAAGCUGUGAGGAAGGUGGGGAUGACGUCAAGUCAGCACGGCCCUUACGUCCAGGGCUACACACGUGUUACAAUGGUCGGUACAAAGGGCAGCUACCCCGCAAGGGGAUGCGAAUCCCUAAAGCCGGUCUCAGUUCGGAUUGAAGUCUGCAACUCGACUUCAUGAAGCUGGAAUCGCUAGUAAUCGCGCAUCAGCCAUGGCGCGGUGAAUACGUUCCCGGGCCUUGUACACACCGCCCGUCAAGCCAUGGAAGCUUGGGGUACCUGAAGUCCGUAACCGCAAGGAUCGGCCUAGGGUAAAACUAGUAACUGGGGCUAAGUCGUAACAAGGUAA